AUUGAACGCUGGCGGCAGGCCUAACACAUGCAAGUCGAGCGAGCGGAGGACGGGUGAGUAAUGUAUGGGGACUGCCCGAUAGAGGGGGAUAACUACUGGAAACGGUGGCUAAUACCGCAUACUAUCGGAUAACCCAUAUGUGAUUAGCUAGUAGGCGGGGUAAAGGCUCACCUAGGCGACGAUGUUUAGCUGGUCUGAGAGGGUGAUCGGCCACACUGGGACUGAGACACGGUCCAGACUCCUACGGAGGCAGCAGUGGGGAAUAUUGCGCAAUGGGCGAAAGCCUGAUGCAGCCAUGCCGCGUGUGUGAUGAAGGUCUUAGGGUUGUAAAGUUCUGUCAUCGGGGAGGCGUUACCCGAAGAAGAAGCACCGGCUAACUCCGUGCCAGCAGCCGCGGUAAUAC
rnacentral:rRNA from 1 species